UGGACUUUUUACCUAUAAAAAAAUUCUUUGUAAUGAGAAAAAGAAUAACCUUGAAAAUUACUUGGCGUAAAGAAAAGGAUAGAAAACUUGAAAUUGAUCUUGUAAUGAAGAAUUGUAACAAUAGAUAUCCCAUUAAAAAACAUUCUUUGAAACAACACGUGUAAGAAAACAAAUCAUCUUUUGCUUUGUAUGAGUAGAAUCAAACAGAUAUUUUUAAUAAUAAAAUACUUUAAGUUUUUUCUACUAAUAUAAUGAAAUGAAAACUUAAGAAAAAUGUUGCUGGCAAGCUACUACGGCAUGUAGACAAAUGUCCCAAUGCCUGGUCAUCAUAAAUCCCUCAAAGGUUUUUAGUGUCUUAAUAGUAGUACAACAUAAUAAUGGUUAGGAAGAGAAAGGAACCCCCAAUGUGACAUCAUUGUGCCACCCUUGAUGCAAGAUGGCAUCAUUGCACUACCCAACAUAUAGAAUUCGCUUCAUCAACCAUCUUUCCAUCACUCCCUAUCAUUCCUAGUCCCAUGUCAUCCUCAUAAACUAUAAUUUUUCACAAACUAACAAACACUUGCUAGUUCCCUCCUUAAACCCAUAAAUAUCGUAACACACCUAUUACUAAUCAACAAAUACAGAUGAACAAAGACAUUUAAGGCGUUACAAAUCAAAACAGGAUAUGCAAGGCAUCAGUGUUGGCUCAGUUGGUGUACUAGGCGGGUGUUGGCAAUGACUUAUAAGUUGGUCAAACCAACUUGUGUGUUUGGGAGCUACUUAUUUUUCAACUUAUAAGUUGGUUUUUAAGUCGAAAAAAAUAAGUAACUAUUUACGACUUAUUUUAAAAUAACUUAUAAGUCAUUUUAAAAUAAGUUAGUUUGACCAAAAGUAAUGUCUAUUUUACUGCUCUUCUCUCUUUUUAUUAAUGUCUCUUUUUAGUAAUCUUUAAAUUAUUUUAAUUUAUAAGUAAUUAUGAGCCGAACACUUUUAUAACUUGUUUUAACUUAAUUUUUGACGUAUAAGUCAAAUUGAUGCCGAACACUUUUACUUAUAAGUUAAACUAUAAGUUAACUUAUAAGUUGUUUUAAGUACUGACUUAUAAGUAAAAGCGCUCGGCAUCAAUUUGACUUAUAAGUCAAAAAUUAAAUUAAAACAAGAUAUGAAGGUGUUUGACUCAUAACAUAUAAAUUAAAAUAAAUGUAAAGAUUACUAAAUGACUUAUAAGUUAAAAUAAAUGUAAAGAUUAUAAAAAGGACAUUAAUAAAAAAAAAGGGGCAAAAUAAACAUUAUAUAAGUCAUUUUAAAAUGAGUUACAAAUUUGUACUUAUUUUUUUAAAGUUAUAAGUAGAAAAAUAAGUCAUUUCCGAACAGGUGAAUAACAAAUGACUCCGAAUAGGCUCUAUACCCCUCCACCAAAGUAGCAAAAAAAUAAAAAUAAAAAACAUUAAAAUAUAUAAAUGAAAUCAGGUUGUUCACUAAUAUUAUGUCAUCAUUUUAGACUCACAAAGAGACUACUAGCGAUCUUGACAAGUCUGGCAGAAGGUACCGUGAGACAGCUCGCAACACGACCGGGCGCUGACGGUGAGGUGGGAUGUGAGGCGAGCUCCGGCAAGUAACGGUAAAAGUGACUGAGCGCAUCCGAGUUCACCCAAAUUCCUAGCCCACGAAAACAAUUAUCAAAUGGUGAAUUUAACAUUAUGAAAAUUUCAAUUAUAAUAGAACCCUAAGGAAAAUGUGAAAUUGUAAAUAUAAAUUAGGAUUUUAUUAAAAUGGACCUAGGAUUGGUGAAGGAGAUCCGGCGGGAUUGGACGCGAGGGGAGGAUAACAACGGCGGACGGAGGCGGGGGAGAGGUGGCGACGAUGAGCGGAAGGAUGAAGACCUUACCGAGGACAUUAGUGUUCUGGAAAACGAACCACGCCAUGCCAUUUCUAACUCUUUCUGUAACGGAAUCACCGCAGAGGAAGUCGAAUUGCGAGAAGUGAGGGUUUUGUGAAGGGUUUAAGGAAAUGGUUGACUUGGGUUGUUAAACGUAGUAAAGUACUAGUGAGUAAUGAGGUUUGCCGUGUAUCGUUGGACUGGUGGACUAGUUUAAAA
rnacentral:lncRNA from 1 species